AUUGAACGCUGGCGGCAGGCCUAACACAUGCAAGUCGAGCGGAUGAAGGGAGCUUGCUCCUGGAUUCAGCGGCGGACGGGUGAGUAAUGCCUAGGAAUCUGCCUGGUAGUGGGGGAUAACGUCCGGAAACGGGCGCUAAUACCGCAUACGUCCUGAGGGAGAAAGUGGGGGAUCUUCGGACCUCACGCUAUCAGAUGAGCCUAGGUCGGAUUAGCUAGUUGGUGGGGUAAAGGCCUACCAAGGCGACGAUCCGUAACUGGUCUGAGAGGAUGAUCAGUCACACUGGAACGGAGACACGGUCCAGAGUCCUACGGGAGGCAGCAGUGGGGAAUAGUGGACAAGGGGCGAAAGCCUGAUCCAGCCAUGCCGCGUGUGUGAAGAAGGUCUUCGGAUUGUAAAGCACUUUAAGUGGGGAGGAAGGGCAGUAAGUUAAUACCUUGCUGUUGUGACGUUACCAACAGAAUAAGCACCGGCUAACUUCGUG
rnacentral:rRNA from 1 species